rnacentral:rRNA from 1 species
UACGGGGGGGGCAAGCGUUGUUCGGAAUUACUGGGCGUAAAGGGCUCGUAGGCGGCCAACUAAGUCAGACGUGAAAUCCCCAGGCUCAACCUGGGAACUGCGUCUGAUACUGGAUGGCUUGAAUCCGGGAGAGGGAUGCAGAAUUCCAGGUGUAGCGGUGAAAUGCGUAGAUAUCUGGAGGAAUACCGGUGGCGAAGGCGGCAUCCUGGACCGGCAUUGACGCUGAUGAGCGAAAGCCAGGGGAGCAAACGGGAUUAGAAACCCGCGUAGUCC